UUAAGUUAAAAAGGGCGCAUGGUGAAUGCCUUGGCACUAGAAGCCGAUGAAGGACGGGACUAACACCGAUAUGCUUCGGGGAGCUGUACGUAAGCUUUGAUCCGGAGAUUUCCGAAUGGGGAAACCCAGCAGCUUUAAUCAGCUGUUACUAUAUAGUGAAUUCAUAGCUAUAUAGAGGUAGACGUGGGGAACUGAAACAUCUCAGUACCCACAGGAGCAGAAAGAAAUUUCGAUUCCCUAAGUAGCGGCGAGCGAACGGGGAACAGCCCAAACCAACGAGCUUGCUCGUUGGGGUUGUAGGACUGAACAUUUGAGUUACCAAAGUUGUUGAUAAUCGAACAAUCUGGGAAGGUUGGCGAAACAGGGUGAUAGCCCCGUAGGUGAAAUCAAUGACCCUCAGUUCAGGAUCCUGAGUACGGCGACACACGUGAAACGUCGUCGGAAUCCGGGAGGACCAUCUCCCAAGGCUAAAUACUCUCUAGUGACCGAUAGUGAACCAGUACCGUGAGGGAAAGGUGAAAAGCACCCCGGAAGGGGAGUGAAAUAGUUCCUGAAACCAUGUGCCUACAAGCAGUUAGAGCCCGUUAAUGGGUGAUAGCGUGCCUCUUGUAGAAUGAACCGGCGAGUUACGGUAACAUGCAAGGUUAAGGUUUAAAAGCCGGAGCCGCAGCGAAAGCGAGUCUGAAAUGGGCGCUUGAGUAUGUUGCUGUAGACCCGAAACCAGGUGAUCUACCCAUGUCCAGGCUGAAGGUGCGGUAAAACGCACUGGAGGGCCGAACCCGUGUACGUUGAAAAGUGCUGGGAUGAGGUGUGGGUAGCGGUGAAAUUCCAAACGAACUUGGAGAUAGCUGGUUCUCUCCGAAAUAGCUUUAGGGCUAGCCUCGGACGUAGAAUCAUGGAGGUAGAGCCACUGUUUGGAUGAGGGGCCCGUCAUGGGUUACUAAGUUCAGAUAAACUCCGAAUACCAUUGAUUUUUAUCCGGGAGUCAGACGGUGAGUGAUAAGAUCCAUCGUCAAAAGGGGAACAGCCCAGACCACCAGUUAAGGUCCCUAAAUAUAUGCUAAGUGGAAAAGGAUGUGGAGUUGCAUAGACAACUAGGAUGUUGGCUCAGAAGCAGCCAUCAUUUAAAGAGUGCGUAAUAGCUCACUAGUCGAGUGAUUCCGCGCCGAAAAUUUACCGGGGCUAAGCAUAUUACCGAGACUGUGGACUUGACCUUUGGUCAAGUGAUAGGAGAGCGUUCUAAGGGCAAUGAAGCCAGACCGUAAGGACUGGUGGAGCGCUUAGAAGUGAGAAUGCCGGUAUGAGUAGCGAAAGAUCAGUGAGAAUCUGAUCCACCGAAUGACUAAGGUUUCCUGGGGAAGGCUCGUCCUCCCAGGGUUAGUCGGGACCUAAGCCGAGGCCGAAAGGCGUAGGCGAUGGAUAACAGGUUGAGAUUCCUGUACUAGUUGAUGAUGUUUGAGCGAUGGAGGGACGCAGGAGGCUAAGUUGUGCAUCCAGUUGGAAAGGGAUGUUCAAGCAACGAGUCAGUCAAUGAGUUAAAUGCUUAUUGGCGGGUUGACAAGUUGUGAUGAGGACCGAAAUUUAAGUAGGGAAGCAACCGACGUCACACUGCCGAGAAAAGCUUCUAGUGAGUCAUCAACUACCCGUACCGCAAACCGACACAGGUAGUCGAGGAGAGAAUCCUCAGGUGAGCGAGUGAACUCUCGUUAAGGAACUCGGCAAAAUGACCCCGUAACUUCGGGAGAAGGGGUGCUGUGCGCAAGCACAGCCGCAGUGAAAAGGCCCAGGCGACUGUUUAUCAAAAACACAGGUUUCUGCAAAAUCGUAAGAUGACGUAUAGGGGCUGACGCCUGCCCGGUGCUGGAAGGUUAAGUGGAUGAGUUAGCUUCGGCGAAGCCCAGAAAUGAAGCCCCAGUAAACGGCGGCCGUAACUAUAACGGUCCUAAGGUAGCGAAAUUCCUUGUCGGGUAAGUUCCGACCCGCACGAAAGGCGUAACGAUCUGGGCACUGUCUCAACGAGAGACUCGGUGAAAUUAAGAUACCUGUGAAGAAGCAGGUUACCCGCGACAGGACGGAAAGACCCCAUGGAGCUUUACUGUAGCUUGAUAUUGGGUGUUGACACAGCUUGUACAGGAUAGGUAGGAGCCAUUGAAGCCGGAACGCUAGUUUCGGCAGAGGCGUUGGUGGGAUACUACCCUCGCUGUGUGAACACUCUAACCCGCGCCACUCAGCGUGGCGGGAGACAGUGUCAGGUAGGCAGUUUGACUGGGGCGGUCGCCUCCCAAACAGUAACGGAGGCGCCCAAAGGUUCCCUCAGAAUGGUUGGAAAUCAUUCAACGAGUGUAAAGGCAGAAGGGAGCUUGACUGCGAGACAGACAGGUCGAGCAGGGACGAAAGUCGGGCUUAGUGAUCCGGUGGUACCGUAUGGAAGGGCCAUCGCUCAACGGAUAAAAGCUACCCUGGGGAUAACAGGCUUAUCUCCCCCAAGAGUCCACAUCGACGGGGAGGUUUGGCACCUCGAUGUCGGCUCAUCGCAUCCUGGGGCUGUAGUCGGUCCCAAGGGUUGGGCUGUUCGCCCAUUAAAGCGGUACGCGAGCUGGGUUCAGAACGUCGUGAGACAGUUCGGUCCCUAUCCGUCGCGGGCGUAGGAAAUUUGAGAGGAGCUGUCCUUAGUACGAGAGGACCGGGAUGGACAUACCGCUGGUGUACCAGUUGCGCCGCCAGGCGCACCGCUGGGUAGCUACGUAUGGAUGAGAUAAACGCUGAAAGCAUCUAAGUGUGAAACUCACCUCAAGAUGAGAUUUCCCAUUCCUAUAUGGAAGUAAGACCCCUGAGAGAUGAUCAGGUAGAUAGGUUGGAAGUGGAAGUGCAGUGAUGUACGGAGCGGACCAAUACUAAUCGGUCGAGGACUUAACC
rnacentral:rRNA from 2 species